rnacentral:rRNA from 1 species
AACGAACGCUGGCGGCAGGCCUAACACAUGCAAGUCGAGCGCCCCGCAAGGGGAGCGGCGGACGGGUGAGUAACGCGUGGGAAUAUGCCCUUUGCUACGGAAUAGUCUCGGGAAACUGGGGGUAAUACCGUAUACGCCCUUUGGGGGAAAGAUUUAUCGGCGAAGGAUUAGCCCGCGUUGGAUUAGGUAGUUGGUGGGGUAAUGGCCUACCAAGCCGACGAUCCAUAGCUGGUUUGAGAGGAUGAUCAGCCACACUGGGACUGAGACACGGCCCAGACUCCUACGGGAGGCAGCAGUGGGGAAUCGUAGACAAUGGGGGCAACCCUGAUCUAGCCAUGCCGCGUGAGUGAUGAAGGCCUUAGGGUUGUAAAGCUCUUUCAGCUGGGAAGAUAAUGACGGUACCAGCAGAAGAAGCCCCGGCUAACUCCGUG